rnacentral:rRNA from 1 species
UACGGAGGGGGCUAGCGUUGUUCGGAAUUACUGGGCGUAAAGGGCGCGUAGGCGGCGACCCAAGUCAGAUGUGAAAGUCCUGGGCUUAACCUGGGGACUGCAUUUGAUACUGGGUUGCUUGAAUUCGGGAGAGGAUAGCGGAAUUCCCAGUGUAGAGGUGAAAUUCGUAGAUAUUGGGAAGAACACCGGUGGCGAAGGCGGCUAUCUGGACCGACAUUGACGCUGAGGCGCGAAAAGCGUGGGGAGCAAACAGG